rnacentral:rRNA from 1 species
ACGGAAGGCAGCAGUGAGGAAUAUUGGUCAAUGGUCGGAAGACUGAACCAGCCAAGUCGCGUGCAGGAAGACGGUCCUCUGGAUUGUAAACUGCUUUUGUACGGGAAUAACGUGCGGGACGUGUCCCGUUUGGCAUGUACCGUAUGAAUACGGGUAGGCUCACUCCGUGCCAGCAGCCGCGGUAAUACGGAGGACACGAGCGUUGUCCGGAUUUAUUGGGUUUAAAGGGUGCGCAGGCGGAGGAUUAAGUCAGCGGUGAAAUUUUCAUGCUCAACAGGAAAACUGCCACUGAUACUGGUCCCCUUGAGAGAUGUCGAGGAUGGCGGAAUGUGAUGUGUAGCGGUGAAAUGCUUAGAUAUGUCACAGAACACCGAUUGCGAAGGCAGCUGUCCAGAGAUCUUCUGACGCUCAGGCACGAAAGCAUGGGUAUCAAACAGGAUUAGAUACCCUGGUA